rnacentral:rRNA from 1 species
UGGGCUCGAACGGCUGUGGACCGUCGGUGGAAACGCCGAUUUUCUCUUCGGAGACUGCAGUCGAGGUGCUGCAUGGCUGUCGUCAGCUCGUGUCGUGAGAUGUUGGGUUAAGUCCCGCAACGAGCGCAACCCUUGUCCUGUGUUGCCACUCCUUUAUUGGAAGCACUCUCAGGAGACCGCCAGCGACAAGCUGGAGGAAGGUGGGGAUGACGUCAAGUCAGCAUGGCCUUUAUGUCCAGGGCUACACACGUGCUACAAUGGCCGGUACAAAGCGUAGCCAAGUCGCGAGACGGAGCCAAUCGCAAAAAACCGGUCUCAGUUCGGAUUGCAGGCUGCAACUCGCCUGCAUGAAGCUGGAAUCGCUAGUAAUGGCGUAUCAGAAUGACGCCGUGAAUACGUUCCCGGGCCU